CUACGGGGUGCUGCAGUGAGGAAUCUUGCGCAAUGGGCGAAAGCCUGACGCAGCAACGCCGCGUGAGUGAUGAAGGCCUUCGGGUCGUAAAGCUCUGUCAAGUGGGAAGAACCUGCAUCUUGAUAAUACCAGGGUGUACUGACGGUACCACUGAAGGAAGCACCGGCUAACUCCGUGCCAGCAGCCGCGGUAAUACGGAGGGUGCAAGCGUUAUUCGGAAUUAUUGGGCGUAAAGGGCGCGCAGGCGGCCGUUUAAGUCAGAUGUGAAAUCCCGGGGCUUAACCCCGGAAGUGCAUUUGAUACUGGAUGGCUAGAGUAUGGGAGAGGGAAGUGGAAUUCCUGGUGUAGAGGUGAAAUUCGUAGAUAUCAGGAGGAACACCGGUGGCGAAGGCGACUUCCUGGACCAAUACUGACGCUGAGGCGCGAAGGCGUGGGGAGCAAACAGGAUUAGAUACCCGUGUAGUC
rnacentral:rRNA from 1 species